AUCCAUCUGACAAGUCCCGAAUAGGACGAAACGCGCAUCCUGGAU
rfam:Schistosoma mansoni strain Puerto Rico chromosome 7, complete genome